CCUACGGGAGGCAGCAGUGGGGAAUAUUGGGCAAUGGGCGCAAGCCUGAACCAGCAACGCCGCGUGAAGGAAGAAGGCAUUCGGGUUGUAAACUUCUUUUAAGAAGGAAGAGAAGAAGACGGUACCUCUUGAAUAAGCCAAGGCUAACUAGGUGCCAGCAGCCGCGGUAAUACGUAGGUGGCAAGGGUUGUACGGAUUUACUGGGUGUAAAGGGCGUGCAGCCGGGAAUACAAGUCAGAUGUGAAAUCCCGCGGCUCAACCGCGGAACUGCAUUUGAAACUGUUGUUCUUGAGUACGGGAGAGGUCAUCGGAAUUCGUGGUGUAGCGGUGAAAUGCAUAGAUAUAAGGAAGAACACCAGUGGCGAAGGCGGAUGACUGGACGGCAACUGACGGUGAGGCGCGAAAGCGUGGGGAUCAAACAGGAUUAGAUACCCGUGUAGUC
rnacentral:rRNA from 1 species